rnacentral:rRNA from 1 species
AUUGAACGCUGGCGGCAGGCCUAACACAUGCAAGUCGAGCGGAGCGGCGGACGGGUGAGUAAUGCCUAGGAAUCUGACUGGAAGUGGGGGAAAACGACCGGAAACGGGCGCGAAUACCGCAAACUCUCAGAGUAGGCUAGGUCGGAUUAGCUAGUUGGUGGGGGAAAGGCCGACCAAGGCGACGAUCCGUAACUGGUCUGAGAGGAUGAGCAGUCACCCUGGAACUGAGACCCGGUCCAGGCUCCUACGGGAGGAAGCAGUGGGGAAUAUUGGACAAUGGGCGAAAGCCUGAUCCAGCCAUGCCGCGUGUGUGAAGAAGGUCUUCGGAUUGUACAGUACUUUAAGUUGGGAGGCGUUACCAACAGAAUAAGCACCGGCUAACUUCGUGCCAGCAGCCGCGGUAAUUC